rnacentral:rRNA from 1 species
CCUACGGGAGGCAGCAGUGAGGAAUAUUGGUCAAUGGUCGGGAGACUGAACCAGCCAAGCCGCGUGCGGGAUGAAGGUACAGAGUAUCGUAAACCUCUUUUGUCCGGGAACAACGCCGUCGACGCGUCCCCGGCUGCGUGUACCUGACGAAAAAGCACCGGCUAAUUCCGUGCCAGCAGCCGCGGUAAUACGGAGGAUGCGAGCGUUAUCCGGAUUUAUUGGGUUUAAAGGGUGCGCAGGCGGUCUGUUAAGUCAGCGGUAAAACCCCGGGGCUCAACCCCGGCCCGCCGUUGAAACUGGCAGUCUCGAGUUGGAGAGAGGUAUGCGGAAUGCGCGGUGUAGCGGUGAAAUGCAUAGAUAUCGCGCAGAACGCCGAUUGCGAAGGCAGCAUGCCGGCGCCACACUGACGCUGAGGCACGAAGGCGUGGGUAUCGAACAGGAUUAGAUACCCCUGUAGUC